rnacentral:rRNA from 1 species
GGCGUGCUUACCAUGCAAGUCGAACGAUGAAGCCCACUUGUGGGUGGAUUAGUGGCGAACGGGUGAGUAACACGUGAGUAACCUGCCCUUGACUCUGGGAUAAGCCUGGGAAACUGGGUCUAAUACCGGAUAUGACUGACCGUCUCAUGGUGGUUGGUGGAAAGCUUUUGUGGUUUUGGAUGGACUCUCGGCCUAUCANCUUGUUGGUGAGGUAAUGGCUUACCAAGGCGACAACAGGUAGCCGGCCUGAGAGGGUGACCGGCCACACUGGGACUGAGACACGGCCCACACUCCUACGGGAGGCAGCAGUGGGGAAUAUUGCACAAUGGGCGCAAGCCUGAUGCACCGACGCCCCGUGAGGGAUGACGGCCUUCGGGUUGUAAACCUCUUUCAGUAGGGAAGAANCCGCAAGGUGACGGUACCUGCAGAAAAANCGCCGGCUAACUACGUGCCACCANCCGCGGUAAUACGUAGGGCGCAAGCGUUAUCCGGAAUUAUUGGGCGUAAAGAGCUCGUAGGCGGUUUGUCGCGUCUGCCGUGAAAGUCCGGGGCUCAACUCCGGAUCUGCGGUGGGUACGGGCAGACUANAGUGAUGUAGGGGAGACUGGAAUUCCUGGUGUAGCGGUGAAAUGCGCANAUAUCAGGAGGAACACCGAUGGCGAAGGCAGGUCUCUGGGCAUUAACUGACGCUGAGGAGCGAAAGCAUGGGGAGCGAACAGGAUUANAUACCCUGGUAGUCCAUGCCGUAAACGUUGGGCACUAGGUGUGGGGGACAUUCCACGUUUUCCGCGCCGUAGCUAACGCAUUAAGUGCCCCGCCUGGGGAGUACGGCCGCAGGCUAAAACUCACAGGAAUUGACNGGGGGCCCGCACAAGCGGCGGAGCAUGCGGAUUAAUUCUAUGCAACGCGAAGAACCUUACCAAGGCUUGACAUGAACCGGACCGCGCUGGAGACAGUCUCUCCCCUCUGGGCUGGUUUACAGNGGUGCAU